GUUAUCGUCUGUCAGAACCUCCGGGGCCAGAAACUCUGGAGUCCCACAGAACGUCGAGGUCCGAUCUCCGUGACCCAUCCCUGAAGAGAUAAAACCCCACAGGUCCUCUCAUCAGCAGAGUCCAAAGUCUGUGAUCUUCACGAAUCCGUCUGCGUCCAUCAGCAGGUUGUCGAGCUUCAGAUCUCUGAAUGAAACAAAGAAAGCUGCAGUAAACGUUUCGCGUUCUUCCUCUCACCUGGUCUGGGCCUCGGUGAACACGUUGUUGUGGAUGUGGAUCAUCAGGUCUCCUCCUGCUAGAUACUCCAUGACGAAGCAGACGUGGUCUCCGGUCUGGAAGCAGCCGUGAAGGUUGACAAGGAACGGAUGUCUGGAGGCGUUGAUCAUCUCAAAGAUCCUCUUCUCGCUCAUCAGGCUGCAGAACGACAGCGUGGAUCAGCACCACUCGCUCUGAAGAACCUUCUCUCUGCUCCUGAGAACGUUAAAGACCUCCACGACAAAUUCAGACGGUGAGUAGUUCUCUGAGGCGAUGAUGUUGGAGGUUUGAUCCUCCUGAGAGUUUGGAUCCUCGCUGAGGUUCAGUCUGAUCACUGGAGCGUCACUGGAGGAGAAAAGAGGAAAAACAUCCAGAUCCUUCACUGAAAUCUGAACGCGUUCUCAGCUCUACUUCCAGCCAAACUGCAGUGUUUGGUCCUGAACAGGUUUAAAGCCUCUGAGCGACCUGGGCGGCGUGGCGGUGCAUUCAGGCUCCUUCUCGGCCGG